CCCCCUCCAGCCGUCUCAACCUCUCUCGCCUUGAGGACGGCGUCAUGACCCGACGGGAUCUUUGGGCUCAUCAGCCUGAACGCCUGGAAUCUCGUCCCAACGCUGCCGCCAAGGAGUCCCGAGGGCAUGACUGCGUCUGGUUCGGACCUCAGAUGGCGGGCAGCUAUCUCGACUUUGAGAUAUGGUUGUACAAACAUAUAAGCCGAUGACGGCGACGACCGGACAACCAGAUAUCAUCAACACAAAACCACCUAACUGGUCGAAUUACUAUACUACGUGCAUAUCUACACUCAGGCCAGCCGAAAGAGAUGCCAAGAGGCGCAGAUUGUAUUGCGAUGUGUGGACGAGCUCCCGUCGUGUCACCAACGCCAGAUGCAUGGCCAUCUGAGCUACACCUCAACGUACGGCUCCUCGUCCACCAUUUACGCUCCUGUUCGUCAGCCCAGUAGCCAGUUGCAGUCGAAUACAAGAUGAAAGAUGUAGUGUACAGGAAGGGUGCCAAUGCUGUUUGGCUGCGUCACGGCGGCAGUGACGCUGGUUGAUGGUCACGGCGCCCAAACAGGGGUCGAGGCCAGGUAUGUCGAUGGCUGCUGCGAGGCACACAAGUCGAAAAGC